rnacentral:rRNA from 1 species
CACGGGGGGGAGCAAGCGUUGUUCGGAAUCAUUGGGCGUAAAGCGCGUGUAGGCGGUCCGGUAAGUCCGCUGUGAAAGUCGGGGGCUCAACCCUCGGAUGCCGGUGGAUACUGUCGGGCUUGAGUACGGAAGAGGCGAGUGGAAUUCCUGGUGUAGCGGUGAAAUGCGCAGAUAUCAGGAGGAACACCAAUUGCGAAGGCAGCUCGCUGGGACGUAACUGACGCUGAGACGCGAAAGCGUGGGGAGCAAACAGG